rnacentral:lncRNA from 1 species
UUAUCUCCUCAAGUUUGCCUCUUGGAAGAAUUUUCUUUUCUUGUAUCAACAAAAUUUCUUCUCCUCUUUUCUUCCAUUAAAGCUUCAUGUUGACUUUUAGCAAUAUAUGUAUGUACUAACAAGGAUUCUACAGGAUCCUUUUAGCCUAUAGUACCACAAAUUAUUAAAGCAAUUUUUAAUAAAGCUUUUUUUAGCAUCUUGUCUUCUUACAUUGUAGAAAUGGCAGAACACCAAAGUCUACUUAAUCAAAAAUUUCCAACAAAAUUCUAUUUGCCAUCACUAUCCAGCCUAGUUCCA